GUGUCUGUAGCCUAGUUGGUAAAGGCAGCACUCUAGUAUGUGUCUCAGCAUAGCUGAGGUCACGAGUUUGAAUCUCACCAGACACA
rnacentral:tRNA from 1 species